CCUACGGGUGGCAGCAGUGAGGAAUAUUGGUCAAUGGGCGGGAGCCUGAACCAGCCAAGCCGCGUGAGGGAAGAAGGUACAGCGUAUCGUAAACCUCUUUUGUCAGGGAAUAAAGGCGGGGACUAGUCCCCGGAUGAGGGUACCUGAAGAAUAAGCAUCGGCUAACUCCGUGCCAGCAGCCGCGGUAAUACGGAGGAUGCGAGCGUUAUCCGGAUUUAUUGGGUUUAAGGGGUGCGCAGGGGGCCUGUUAAGUCAGAGGGAAAAGUCCGGGGCUCAACCCCAGCGAGCCGUUGAAACUGGCGGGCUUGAGUUCAAGAGAGGUACGCGGAAUGCGCGGUGUAGCGGUGAAAUGCUUAGAUAUCGCGCAGAACCCCGAUUGCGAAGGCAGCUUACCGGCUUCACACUGACGCUGAGGCACGAAAGCGUGGGUAUCAAACAGGAUUAGAUACCCGGGUAGUC
rnacentral:rRNA from 1 species